ensembl:snoRNA LOC120097972 small nucleolar RNA SNORD113/SNORD114 family
UGGGUUCAAUGAUGACUACAAUCUGCGGGUGUUGUAUGAGUCAUGCAUGGAUGAUGAGUACAAAUUUUCGAGUCUGAAGUCCAC